UAUCACGUUGCCAAAUCCCGUUACCACGUUCAACUUCAACUUCAACUAAAUAGCAAAAGAAUCGGUGUAUAUCUCCGAGAUCGCUAGUUUUUAAACAACCCAUAACCUCAUUCAGUUACCACAUAAACCACACUGCAACACCCUCCUCGUUCAACUCCUCCGUUCCUGUGGGAUUUCGCCACCGAACCUCAGCCGUAAGGGAACUCCGGUGACGUUGCGAAAGAGCUUUUGACGACCCUUUGAAUCAAGGUCUCGAGACAACGGUACAAACUUAGUUGUUCGCCUCUGUUCAUAGCAUGUCCGUUUGAAACUCUUAGCCAGUUUGUUCGUUUUUUUAGCAGCAACGAAUCGCCACCGUAGCAUCAUCAGUUGGGAAUUUACGACUCUUUCAAGUUCCCUCCGAUUGACGACCCACCGGUUUGCAACAUUUGUUUCUGAUCACCUUGUUUAUCUCUGUUUGAUCACCCGGAAGCUCAAAAUCGUCGGUUUCGCUCCGAUCAGUUUCGCGAUUAAGCCAGCGUACACCCUCUUAUUCGGUAGAUCGGGGCCGCUGCCGUAGUUGAGUUACUCGUCUCUACGUGACCUGACGUCCAAAACGCCGCGACGCAUUCCAUUGACUCCGCUCCUCGACCCAAGGCUUUGGUGAUAGUUAAGGACGCCACUGAGUUUUGUGAUGUUAUCAUAGAAGAUCGCUUAAGGU